UUGCUAUGAAGAGUAUAUGAGAUAGUGAAAGUAUAUCAAAAAUUCUUGAUGAUGCGUUCAACAACUAUGUUGAUCUGAGCGGUUACCUGAGCAA
rfam:Corchorus capsularis cultivar CVL-1 contig14547, whole genome shotgun sequence.